AUUGAACGCUGGCGACGUGCCUAACACAUGCAAGUCGAGCGGUAACAGGUGUAGCAAUACAUGCUGACGAGCGGCGGACGGGUGAGUAACGCUUGGGAAUCUGCCUGUUAGUGGGGGACAACCCGGGGAAACUCGGGCUAAUACCGCAUACGCACUACGGUGGAAAGCCGGGGACCGCAAGGCCUGGCGCUAACAGAUGAGCCCAAGUCGGAUUAGCUAGUUGGUAGGGAACGGCCUACCAAGGCGACGAUCCGUAACUGGUCUGAGAGGACGACCAGUCACACCGGAACUGAGACACGGUCCGGACUCCUACGGGAGGCAGCAGUGGGGAAUAUUGGACAAUGGGCGAAAGCCUGAUCCAGCGACGCCGCGUGGGUGAAGAAGGCCUGCGGGUUGUAAAGCCCUUUCAGUGGGGAAAGAAAAGCCUCGAGUUAAUACCUCGGGGUCUUGACGUAACCCAUAGAAGAAGCACCGGCUAACUCUGUGCCAGC
rnacentral:rRNA from 1 species